AUUGAACGCUGGCGGCAGGCCUAACACAUGCAAGUCGAACGAGUGGCGGACGGGUGAGUAAUGUCUGGGAAACUUCCUGAUGGAGGGGGAUAACUACUGGAAACGGUAGCUAAUACCGCAUACCAUCGGAUGUGCCCAGAUGGGAUUAGCUAGUAGGUGGGGUAAGGGCUCACCUAGGCGACGAUCCCUAGCUGGUCUGAGAGGAUGACAAGCAAAUAUGGAACGGAGACAAGGUCCAGAUGCCUACGGGAGGCAGCAGGGGGGAAUAUUGCAAAAUGGGCGAAAGCCUGAGGCAGACAUGCGGCGUGUAUGAAGAAGGCCUUCGGGUUGUAAAGUACUUUAAGCGGGGAGGCGUUACCCGCAGAAGAAGCACCGGCUAACUCCGUGCCAGCAGCCGCGGUAAUUC
rnacentral:rRNA from 1 species